GAUUGUUAACAGCCUGAUUGUUCACAGGAUGCAGGAGAGAUGUGACCCGAGAUCGCAAUUUCCACUAUCUCUCUCUCUCUCUCUCUCUCUCUCUCUCUCUCUCUCUCUCUCUCUCUCUCUCUCUCUCUCUCUCUCUCUCUCUCUCUCUCUCUCUCUCUCUCUCUCUCUCUCUCUCUCUCUCUCUCUCUCUCUCUCUCUCUCUCUCUCUCUCUCUCUCUCUCUCUCUCUCUCUCUCUCUCUCUCUCUCUCUCUCUCUCUCUCUCUCUCUCUCUCUCUCUCUCUCUCUCUGCAGCGAUCCGCCAGGCCGUAUCCAAAUCUCUUGUGACAUGCUACCAGAAAUGUGAGCCGCCCUCACAUUUUCUCAUUUUUGUCAUUUUAUAUCUGUCUGUGCUUUUCAUGUUCACUUAUGCCUGUGAGAGCUUCAAAGAGAAAAUUGGUGUUACUCAACCUUCAAAAUACUUAAAUAUUUUCAUGCUCAAGGUUUACUUGAGAGGCAUGGAAUGUUGUCUGAUAUCUCCCUGCUUUGACUGUCAGGAGAUGGGCCUGCCUGGUUUGACAGUCAGGAGAUGGGCUUCACUGGUUUGACAGUCAGGAGAUGGGCCUCCCUGCUUUGACUGUCAGGAGAUGGGCCUCCCUGGUUUGACAGUCAGGAGAUGGGCUUCACUGGUUUGACAGUCAGGAGAUGGGCCUUCCUGGUUUGACAGUCAGGAGAUGGGCUUCACUGGUUUGACAGUCAGGAGAUGGGCCUCCCUGGUUUGACAGUCAGGAGAUGGGCCUCCCUGGUUUGACAGUCAGGAGAUGGGCUUCACUGGUUUGACAGUCAGGAGAUGGGCCUUCCUGGUUUGACAGUCAGGAGAUGGGCUUCACUGGUUUGACAGUCAGGAGAUGGGCCUCCCUGGUUUGACAGUCAGGAGAUGGGCCUCCCUGGUUUGACAGUCAGGAGAUGUGGAUGAAGCCUCUAAGAAGUCGAUCUGACAUCCUGAUCCAGUACCACAGGACCCUGUUGGUGGCCAACUCCCACCGCUGCAAGUCCAACAAGUUUGGUGGACCUGGAGCCUGCACUUGCUACCAGAAGUCUUACUGUUAAAAAUGCAAUCUUCAUUUUUAUAUACAAUAAAAAUAAAUAUGGGCCAAAUCAGCUUCAGACUCA